GCUUGCUUGGUGGAUCAGUGGCGAACGGGUGAGUAACACGUGAGCAACCUGCCCUGGACUCUGGGAUAAGCGCUGGAAACGGCGUCUAAUACUGGAUAUGAGACGUGAUCGCAUGGUCGUGUUUGGAAAGAUUUUUCGGUCUGGGAUGGGCUCGCGGCCUAUCAGCUUGUUGGUGAGGUAAUGGCUCACCAAGGCGUCGACGGGUAGCCGGCCUGAGAGGGUGACCGGCCACACUGGGACUGAGACACGGCCCAGACUCCUACGGGAGGCAGCAGUGGGGAAUAUUGCACAAUGGGCGAAAGCCUGAUGCAGCAACGCCGCGUGAGGGAUGACGGCCUUCGGGUUGUAAACCUCUUUUAGCAGGGAAGAAGCGAAAGUGACGGUACCUGCAGAAAAAGCGCCGGCUAACUACGUGCCAGCAGCCGCGGUAAUACGUAGGGCGCAAGCGUUAUCCGGAAUUAUUGGGCGUAAAGAGCUCGUAGGCGGUUUGUCGCGUCUGCUGUGAAAUCCCGAGGCUCAACCUCGGGCCUGCAGUGGGUACGGGCAGACUAGAGUGCGGUAGGGGAGAUUGGAAUUCCUGGUGUAGCGGUGGAAUGCGCAGAUAUCAGGAGGAACACCGAUGGCGAAGGCAGAUCUCUGGGCCGUAACUGACGCUGAGGAGCGAAAGGGUGGGGAGCAAACAGGCUUAGAUACCCUGGUAGUCCACCCCGUAAACGUUGGGAACUAGUUGUGGGGACCAUUCCACGGUUUCCGUGACGCAGCUAACGCAUUAAGUUCCCCGCCUGGGGAGUACGGCCGCAAGGCUAAAACUCAAAGGAAUUGACGGGGACCCGCACAAGCGGCGGAGCAUGCGGAUUAAUUCGAUGCAACGCGAAGAACCUUACCAAGGCUUGACAUAUACGAGAACGGGCCAGAAAUGGUCAACUCUUUGGACACUCGUAAACAGGUGGUGCAUGGUUGUCGUCAGCUCGUGUCGUGAGAUGUUGGGUUAAGUCCCGCAACGAGCGCAACCCUCGUUCUAUGUUGCCAGCACGUAAUGGUGGGAACUCAUGGGAUACUGCCGGGGUCAACUCGGAGGAAGGUGGGGAUGACGUCAAAUCAUCAUGCCCCUUAUGUCUUGGGCUUCACGCAUGCUACAAUGGCCGGUACAAAGGGCUGCAAUACCGUGAGGUGGAGCGAAUCCCAAAAAGCCGGUCCCAGUUCGGAUUGAGGUCUGCAACUCGACCUCAUGAAGUCGGAGUCGCUAGUAAUCGCAGAUCAGCAACGCUGCGGUGAAUACGUUCCCGGGUCUUGUACACACCGCCCGUCAAGUCAUGAAAGUCGGUAACACCUGAAGCCGGUGGCCCAACCC
rnacentral:rRNA from 1 species